rnacentral:rRNA from 1 species
UACGUAGGUGGCAAGCGUUAUCCGGAAUUAUUGGGCGUAAGGCGCGCGCAGGCGGUUUCUUAAGUCUGAUGUGAAAGCCCACGGCUCAACCGUGGAGGGUCAUUGGAAACUGGGAAACUUGAGUGCAGAAGAGGAAAGUGGAAUUCCACGUGUAGCGGUGAAAUGCGUAGAGAUGUGGAGGAACACCAGUGGCGAAGGCGACUUUCUGGUCUGUAACUGACGCUGAGGCGCGAAAGCGUGGGGAGCAAACAGG